GUAAGCUGAGAUCACGCCAGGAAAACAAGAGCGAAACUCUGUCUCAAAAAAAAAAAACACAUUUCUUCAGUAGCUCCAGGGCCCUAAAUGCUGAGCAAUGACCACACGCCCGUGAGGAAGCUGUGCCUAGGCUCUGAGACCUCACACCAUCUCGCCGCUUUGCCCAGCUUUGCGAAUGUGAUAGGAGUGUCCAUUAACAAACAUUUGCUUUGCUCAUGGCCCUGUUGCAGUGAAUGAGCUGAACGGGCCGGGAGGAGAUGGCCAACCCGCUGUGCCACCCAAGCCGUGCCCCCUGUGUGCCAGCGACUAUGUAGCUUCUUGGGAUGGUGCCCUAAUGAUGGGUUGGUUGAUUUGUUCAUUCAUUCCUUGAUAUCCUUACCAGCCACGUACCCCUGGUCUGGUGGGUUCAGCAGGAGGAAUGAGGGGCAGUGGGCAGGAAGGCAGAAGGCUUCCAUCUUGGUUUUUGGUUUUCCAGUAAGCUGGGUGAUCUUGAGCAUGCCACCUAAUUAUUGAUUCACAAUCUAUAAAUCAGAGAGCCCUUUCUACUCUGGCUCCUAGGUAAGGAUUAUAUGAAGCUCAAAUGGAAUCAUGUGUAUAAAAGUGUUUUGUGUAUUAAACUGUAAAGUGCUAUGUAAAUGUGGUGAGUCAUGACAUUCACAUUUUAAUCCCGUUCGACCUCCUGCUGUUUUGCCCAUUGGGAUGUACCUGUAAGGCACUGGCAUGUUUCAGGAUGAGACCAGCCUGAAGACCAGCUUUGGGGAGAGCCUGCUCACUCAUUACUUGGCUUUUUGUUUUAUUUUGCUUUGCCUUUUAACCACCACCUCCCCAACUUGCCCCUCUCUGAUCUUCUCCCCCCGACCCAAAAAUAGGUCUUAAAUCCUCAGAGUCUCUAGUUCUUGCCCAUGUAUGUGAAAUCUAGCAAAAAUGUUUCUUUAGAGUCACUGAGGAAAUAUUUUUUUCAUUGAAGUGUACUGGUACAAACCCAGUCUCCAUCUUUUAUCUAAACCUCUCAGCAGGGAUCGAUGAGGCACAGAUUAAUAAUAUCCAUGUUCUACAAAAACAGAAACCAAGAUGCAGAGCAAAUACAUGAGUGGUGACAGUCCUGGAGAUCACGGGGACCGCAGACUAAGGACUGUUGUCCUCUAGCACUGUGCCUGAGGGUCCGCUUUCUAUUUCUCCAUGUCCAGAACCAUGUUCAGAACCCGGAAGCUGAAGCUGUGGGGCUGGGGGAAGGGAGAGUUCUACAUAGUUCUCGGCUCAACUUCAGAUGAUCCCUUUAGGAAACACUGCUUGGGAAAUGCCUGCAGAAGGAUGAAAGUCAGAAACCAGCCUGGCCUCUAUUAACUAUUCCUUGGGUCAAUAUCAAGGCCCUUUGGAGAACAUUAUAAUACCCAAGGUUGACUCAGAUAGUUUUUUCCACGAUGUGUUCCUAGAAGGUCCCAUGUCACAAAGCUUAGCCUGCCAGUGAGUCUGGGCCACACCGCAUGCUGCAUCCUCUUCUUGGAAAUCCACUUGCCCGUGAGUGCAUUGAAGGCUCUGGGAGGCUCUGCAGUACAGAAAUCUUGACCCCUAAACUCUCUUGCACCUCUGUUCCCCUCUCCCCCUUUAUUGUGUUUGCUUAUUGAUGCUCUCCAGAACCCUCUUCUGGAAAUGUCAAUGGGCUGAUUGCACUCUGGGGUGCUUUCUUUUACGCUCAGCUUGGGGGUAGGGGAAGAUGGCACUUGGGGUUGGGGGUAUGGCUCCUAGAUGACCCAUCAUGAGGGUCAUCAGACGAAGUGGAGAAGGGAAGGAGACAGGGGUGCAGUCAUGUGAGCUGAAACCUGUAUGACCCUGAGGUCUGGCUGGCCAGGGAGGGCCCUGCAGGAGAGCCAUUGCAGGAGGAGUCAGGGGAGAUUGGGAGAGCUAGAUCCUCUGGUGGGAGAUGGCCAGGGGGUGUGCUUCUGCUUCAGACUGAGAAAGAAGCCCAGGGCUCCUGGGAGGCUGAGGGCCGGAGUGGAUCCCUCCAAAUGUAGAUUUUUUUUUUUUUUUGUCAUAUCAUUAGAGAGUAGAACCUGCAUGCCUCAUCAAAGACAGUGAGGCCUCUACGCUUUAUCCCAUUAAGGAGGACCCUAGGGCCAUGUUUCUGUGCUGAACUGCCCCACUUGGUGGCAGUGAUUGUGGUAUUGCUCUCAGCUCUGCUAAAGGGGCACGACUUGGGGAAGGGAAAACAUGGAAGUUCUGGUAAUUGCUCUUGUAAGUUAGCCAUGACCGGGACCCGACGGCAGGCUGGCCAUGGAGCAGUGGGAGAACCGCCCUGUUGAAAAGGAGCAGCCUGGGGAGGGGCAGGUGGGAGAACAUAGGUACAGGAGUGGACUCAGAUCAAGGGAGGAGAUUCUGCCUGGCGGGGCCUUUCUGAAGGAAGAAAUCAGUUAUAACCAGUGUGGCCGGCACCACAGGGAUCCAGGGCAGAUGAUUGUGCUUCUUGCCAGCGCAUGGAUAUGUGUGGGGGGUGGGGGUUGGGUAGUUGUGCUUCUUGCCAGCACACGGAUGUGGUGGGAGGAAGCAGGGGGGGCGUGACAAGGGGGCAGGGCCCGCACUGGCCAGGGGUGGGCUGUUUGCCGGUGGGAGUCCAUGUGUGUGUCACACUAUCAAUGUCCAGCUGGCUGGGUUGGCAGCAGCCCCUGUAGGAGCCUAUGUCCCUGGGAAGCCUCUCUCUGGGGAAAGGCAGGGUGGGCAGGCUGUGUACAGAGGAGAAGCCCACGCUGCCCAUGUCCACACAGCUGUGUGGGCACCAGUACCUGUGAGAUGCCAUUCCAGGCUGCCUGAAGCAGCCAGCUCUCUAUAGAAGAGAGAAGGAGAGAGCAUGGUGCAGGCAAGGAGCAGGCAGGGAACAGAAGGGAUUUUAGUAAAUGGCAGGGCAAAGGGGGCAGGAGAAAAAAUGGGAAAUGACUCAAGAAGUGUCAGGGUCCCAAGCAUCCAUGUCAGGACACUCAUGGCAUUUGGGCAGGACAGUCCUUCAUGGAGGGGACUGUUGCCCAUCAAGAGAUGUUCAGCCUGCCCAGCCCACACCCGCCGUAUGCCAGGGAUGCCCUCAGUCAGCAGGAUGACCAUAGCUGCCCCCAGGCUGCCUCUGGAGGAGGUGGUCACGAAGCCCCCCUUUUCUCCAAUGGUCUGAGAUGAUGGAGCUGGAAGGGCCCCUCCCAGGGAGUGAGGACAGCCACUGGGCACCCAGCCUCCAACUCUAGGACCACAAAGAGCAGAUGGGUUGGGAGAGGCUGUUGAAGGUGCAUUUUUCUUAAAUCAACAAACCAGUAUUGAGUCAGGUGCUGAGGUCGGCCCUGGAGACAGGAGGAAAAGUCAGAUGUGACCCCAAACCCCAGGGAGCCCAGAAUCCAGCAGGGGAGGUGGACGAGCAACAGGAACCACCCCACAUUUACUCACAACACAGACUGACCAGGGCACCCUGCCGCCACAUUAGCUAGUGAGCGUGGGUGCGGCUGCAGUCGUGAGAGACCCCAGGCUCAGCGGCGCCACCCCAGAACAGUCCUGUGCUCCAGCUGGCAGAUGGGGCACAAAGUGUGGAGAGGCACAUCCACCUCUGAAAUACCUGCUCUUGGAAGUGGCCGAGACCCCUGUCCCAUUCUCUGGACCUGUCAUGUGGCCACAUUCAGCUUCAGGGAGUCUGGUGCGGGGCCCUGGAGGCAGGACCACAACUAGAAUGGAGCCUGUGGGUACCCACCAGCCAUCUGUCCCUACCCCACUCAGCUGGUAACAGGGAGAGAAACCGCGCCGGGGGUGGAUUUUUCACCUGGGGAAUCUUUACCUUUCAGGAAAUGUCUGUUAUCACUUGGCCCAUGUAUAAGAUAAAUAAUGUUCCGCUGUCUGACAUUGUUAAUAAGCACCAAAAUAUUGUGCAGAUUUAGAAUCCUAGAACAUCAGGGCUCAAAAAGACCUCAGGCGUGGUCCAGUUCAACCCUUUUAAUGUCCAAAGGGGACUCUGAUGGUCAGAAGAGAGGUGCCCGGGUAGAGAUCACCCAGGUGGGGGUCUCUGCCCAGGCCGCCAGUGUGGCUGCUCCUGGUGUCCGGGAGGCAAGGGAAUCCACAGAGCAGCAAGCUCAAGCCAAAUGUGCAGGUUUAUUCUAGGACCUCAAGCUGCUGCCCCAGGCUCUCGCCCUUGCCCCUGCUGGGAGAGUCAGAGCCUCCUCCUCCUCCUCAGCCAGGAUGACUCAGAUGCCCGCGUCAGACAUGUUCCCCUCCCUGCCAGCCUGGGUGACGUCUCUCUGAAACUGUCUGCUCCCUCAGCCACAGCUUAUGGGCAAGAUGAAGCAGUGUCACACAGCCCUGUCCCCCACAGUCUUCCUCGCCGGGGUCUUGUCCCUGCCUCCUUAUACCACCACCCCCAUGAAGCUUACAUGUGCACCUGCACAGCCCCGUGUCGCACUACUACAGUGGGAGUGAGCCCUUGUGGGGAGGUGACAAUGGCCCACAUAUCCCUCAGUGUGGGGAGGAGUGGGAGUGUGGGUUCUGGGACCACUGCGUGUGAACACCUGCAGCUCAGGUGGGCCUCUCGAGCGUUCCCCCAGCCUAUUGCAGAUGGGGAGCGUGAGGUCUGGUUUUUGACGACCUGGAUGCAUGUCCUGGGCGAGCUGCUUGAGCCUCAGCUGCCUCAUCUGGAAAAUGGUCAUCAUUUGUAAUGCCUCAAAGGACAGCAUAUGAGAAAGUGAUCUGUGAACUCUAAAGUGCUGUCCACAUGCUUUGGAGGAAAGGUUUUCCCAGGACUGGCCUUGUUAGCUGGUCAAGCAGAGUGUGGCAUUGGGGAUGACAUGAACUGGGUCCCAGGAGGAGCCAGGAGUGGGAGGGAAGAGGUGCUUAUGGCCACACUUGGAAUGGCAUGGUCUCGUUUGCUAACUUGGAGUCAGCCUGGGCAGGUGCCGUCUCUGUUGGGUAAAUGUGGAAACCAAGGCCCAGAGAGGUUUAGCCAUGUCCACAGAGGUGCAGAGCCUGCCAGGAGGCAGAACCACAACUAGACUGGAGCAGCUCUGUCAGUGGACAGUCCAGGACUUGGUGGCUUAUGUCCAAAAUCAAGAACAGACUAAGUGUUUCAACAGCGACAGAAAUUUCAGUGCGUUACUGAAGAUGCCAUAGAAAUGGUGGGAUGCAGAAAAACUGAGCAGACAGAAAUGGGGGCUAAAAAUAGUCUGUUUCGAACAGGCAGAGACCAGUCCAGUUUGAGAGCAGAGAGGGGGUCAUAAGGCCGUCCAGGACUCUGGGAUGUGCCUGCCUUGGGCAGAGGCGAGGUGCAGCAGGGCUGUCGAGAAAAGAAAGGCUGCUCAUUGCUAAAAGACCAACGGUGCGACUCCCUGGAAGGAAAACUGAAGCAGCAGAAAACACCCAAGUCAGGGUGCAUUUGGGGGAUGCCAAAGAACGCGGGACUUCCAGAUGGCAGAGACUUCAGAGAAUACAGAGCCCCGUCUUCUCCAGCCCAUUUGCCAUUUUAUAGCUGGAGAAACUGAGGCUUGAAGAGGGACUUACUCAGGCAUUGUGGCCCACAUCUAUCGCUUAGCCCUGCCACAUUGCCAGGUGCAUGGGGCAUCUGCGAUGUGCUCGGUUGCUAGGGAAGCUAUGCCACUGCCUAUUUGAGGACAGUGGCUGUGCAGUAGGAGGCAGGAGCCAGCCCUGGGCUCCACGGAGGACGUUCCAGCUCUCAGGCUGAGUUAUCAGGAAAGGCUCCGCAGAAGAGAUGAAACUUUAGCUGGGUUUGGAGGAAUUCAGGUGGAAUGCGAGAAAGGAGAAGUUGUUCACAGCCAGGAAGGAAUACAAACAGUUCUCGAGGCUAUUAGUCCCGAAAAGUAGGGAUUUCCCUGGAUAACAAAACUUAUUAAGUAAAAAUGCAAGUAGAAUGAAAGAAAAAAAAUAAGUAGGUGACACUGCAGUUGGUGUGGCUGAUUUGAGGCCUGUCAUGGCCACGGUACCUAAAUGCCUGGGAAACUUCGGAUCCAAGGAUAAAGUCAUGUCCUCAGUGCAGGCAGAGAGUUGGGUCUUAUGAUGAAGCCACUGCAUGGUAGAGUUGGCCAAAGAUUUUGAAGAUUACAUGAUAGAAACCCUGAAGAGUUUUUGUAAAGAGUAAGGGAACUGACAGGACCCAUAAGACAACUUCUUCUCAUAGUUACGAAGUGACUAUCUUGUAACUGUGGUUAGAAAAAAAAUUCAGCUCUAUCAUCUUCUUGUGUUUACCUCUUUGCCAUGGGUGCUGGGAAGGUCACAGCUAAAUUCUGUACUCAAUUGUGUUCAUUCCCGUGAGUCUAGGCUUUUAAAAGAAAGUUAGAAUUAGUCUUCCUUCCACACACAUAUCCCAUUUAGCAUGUCUUGUCUUUAUUUUCACAAAAAUGAUUUUU